rnacentral:rRNA from 1 species
CCUACGGGAGGCAGCAGUGGGGAAUAUUGCACAAUGGGGGAAACCCUGAUGCAGCGACGCAGCGUGCGGGAUGACGGCCUUCGGGUUGUAAACCGCUUUCAGCAGGGAAGCGGUACCUGCAGAAGAAGUACCGGCUAUACGUGCCAGCAGCCGCGGUAAUACGUGGGUACGAGCGUUGUCCGGAAUUAUUGGGCGUAAAGAGCUCGUAGGUGGUUGGUCACGUCUGCUGUGGAAACGCAACGCUUAACGUUGCGCGUGCAGUGGGUACGGGCUGACUAGAGUGCAGUAGGGGAGUCUGGAAUUCCUGGUGUAGCGGUGAAAUGCGCAGAUAUCAGGAGGAACACCGGUGGCGAAGGCGGGACUCUGGGCUGUACUGACACUGAGGAGCGAAAGCAUGGGGAGCGAACAGGAUUAGAUACCCUUGUAGUC